rnacentral:rRNA from 1 species
AGAGUUUGAUCCUGGCUCAGGAUGAACGCUAGCGGCAGGCUUAACACAUGCAAGUCGAGGGGUAACAGGGUGCUUGCACCGCUGACGACCGGCGCACGGGUGCGUAACGCGUAUACAAUCUACCUUGUACUAGGGGAUAGCCUUUAGAAAUGAAGAUUAAUACCCUAUAGUCUAUUUGGAUGGCAUCAUUUAAAUAGUAAAGGUUACGGUACAUGAUGAGUAUGCGUCCUAUUAGUUUGUUGGUAAGGUAACGGCUUACCAAGACUACGAUAGGUAGGGGCCCUGAGAGGGGGAUCCCCCACACUGGUACUGAGACACGGACCAGACUCCUACGGGAGGCAGCAGUGAGGAAUAUUGGACAAUGGGCGAGAGCCUGAUCCAGCCAUGCCGCGUGCAGGAAGACGGCCCUAUGGGUUGUAAACUGCUUUUAUACAGGAAGAAACAGUCCCUCGUGAGGGAUCUUGACGGUACUGUAAGAAUAAGGACCGGCUAACUCCGUGCCAGCAGCCGCGGUAAUACGGAGGGUCCGAGCGUUAUCCGGAAUCAUUGGGUUUAAAGGGUCCGUAGGCGGGCAGCUCAGUCAGUGGUGAAAGUUUGCAGCUCAACUGUAAAAUUGCCAUUGAUACUGGUUGUCUUGAAUUAAUGUGAAGUGGUUAGAAUAUGUAGUGUAGCGGUGAAAUGCAUAGAUAUUACAUAGAAUACCAAUUGCGAAGGCAGAUCACUAACAUUAUAUUGACGCUGAUGGACGAAAGCGUGGGGAGCGAACAGGAUUAGAUACCCUGGUAGUCCACGCCGUAAACGAUGGAUACUAGCUGUUCGGUAGCAAUACUGAGUGGCUAAGCGAAAGUGAUAAGUAUCCCACCUGGGGAGUACGUUCGCAAGAAUGAAACUCAAAGGAAUUGACGGGGGCCCGCACAAGCGGUGGAGCAUGUGGUUUAAUUCGAUGAUACGCGAGGAACCUUACCAGGGCUUAAAUGUAGAUUGACAGGGGUGGAAACACCUUUUCCUUCGGGCAAUUUACAAGGUGCUGCAUGGUUGUCGUCAGCUCGUGCCGUGAGGUGUCAGGUUAAGUCCUAUAACGAGCGCAACCCCUGUUGUUAGUUGCCAGCGAGUCAAGUCGGGAACUCUAACAAGACUGCCGGUGCAAACCGUGAGGAAGGUGGGGAUGACGUCAAAUCAUCACGGCCCUUACGUCCUGGGCCACACAC